UACGGAGGGUGCAAGCGUUAUCCGGAUUCACUGGGUUUAAAGGGAGCGUAGGUGGGCUGGUAAGUCAGUGGUGAAAUCUCCGGGCUUAACCCGGAAACUGCCGUGAUACUAUCAGUCUUGAAUGUUGUGGAGGUAAGCGGAAUAUGUCAUGUAGCGGUGAAAUGCUUAGAUAUGACAUAGAACACCGAUAGCGAAGGCAGCUUGCUACACAAUUA
rnacentral:rRNA from 1 species